UGUCAGCAACAGUAUCUACUGCAGUAGUAGCUGUGGUAUGUACUAUUAUAGCCGUUAAUUGAUAUCAAUAAGUAUAGUAAAGAGUGUUUUUCACUAGUGUUGUUGUUGUUUAGUCCCAAUUUAUCCUUCAUCGAGCAAAACCAUUCUGAAAAGCAUUCCAGCCGUAACUAUCUUUAACCCCACCCCACAACGCCAACCGCAUUCUAUUUAGGGCUACAUUAUCCAUUCUACCUUUCCUAUUUUUACAAGUUGGAAGGGUAUGUUUUUGAGGCUAAUUUAGUUGCUAAAGUAGAGGCUUCGGUACGUUUUGUUGUUGUUCUUGUUUAACCCGAGGGACUGAGCACAAGUUACCAAUCAAGCCCUAAGGUCCAUAAAAUCAGGACGAUGCUAAAAAGGAAGCACAUGCUUAGACCACCAAAGAAGGGGAUGCCACAGAAUUUUUUCCAAUGCUGGAUUUUAAGACUGCUGCAAAUAAAUGAUUUUUGAAUAAACAAGUGUCGAGGUUACAAGGAAAAUGGAGAAAACUGUGAAUCGUGCUGUCAUGAAGUGCCUUCAUUUGAAAGGCAUGACUCCAUCAGAAAUCCAUUAAGAUAUGGUGAGAACCUUAACAGACAAUGCUCCUUCAUAUGCAACAGUCAAAUGCUGGGUAAAUGAAUUCCAGCAUGGCAGAGAGAGUGUGGAAGAUGAUCCCAGACCAGGGAGGCCUCCAACUGCAACUACCAAGGAGAACAUUGACCUUGCUCUUGGUAUGAUAAUGCAAGAUCAUCAAAUAUCAUGUCACCAGAUAGCUGAGAGACUGGGCAUCUCAAAUGAAAGAGCAGACAACAUUGUGGCAAAAGAACUUGGGUUCUCAAAGGCUUCUGUAAGGUAGGUCCCUUGCCUUUUGAUUCCUGAACAGAAACACACCAGGUGCACUUUGCCCACGAGCAAUCUGGAACUGUUUGAAGCCGAUGAAGAGAAUUUUCUUGCUCGUUUUAUUACUAUGGACAAAAGAUGGGUUCAUCACUACCAGCCUGAAACCAAAGAACAAUCAAAGCAGUGGAAGCACACAUCUUCCCCUAUCCUAAAGAAGGCCAGGUCAUUCCUUCAGCUGGCAAGGUCAUGGCAUCAGUUUUUGGGAUUCUCAAGGUGUCUUGCUGAUCGAUUACCUUGAAAAGCUACUGUAAUGCCACGACAAUACUCCAGCCCACACCUCAGUGGUUGCCAUGGCGACAAUUCGUGAUUGUAGAUACAAACUUGUUCCCCAUCUGCCUUAUUCUCCAGACUUAGCCCCCUCUGACUUUCAUCUAUUCCCAAAAAUGAUAAAAAGCCCUGGUUAGUUGCCAUUUUGCCACUGACAAUGACGUCAUAGACACUGUAGGACGUUUCUUAGAGUCUCAAACAAAAGAGUUCCUCUACGCCGGGAUAAUGGCACUUCAGCACCACUGGAGAAAGAGUUCAGCCGUCAAAGGGGACUAUGUUAAAAAAUAAA